GGUGGUAAUGCCGGAUGCUCCAUCACACCGCAUGGUGUGUUGGGAAAGCCUUUGCGGCAUGGGAUGGGGUCGCGUCCUAUCAGCUUGAUGGCGGGGUAACGGCCCACCAUGGCUUCGACGGGUAGCCGGCCUGAGAGGGCGACCGGCCACAUUGGGACUGAGAUACGGCCCAGACUCCUACGGGAGGCAGCAGUGGGGAAUAUUGCACAAUGGGCGCAAGCCUGAUGCAGCGACGCCGCGUGAGGGAUGGAGGCCUUCGGGUUGUAAACCUCUUUUGUUAGGGAGCAAGGCAUUUUGUGUUGAGUGUACCUUUCGAAUAAGCACCGGCUAACUACGUGCCAGCAGCCGCGGUAAUACGUAGGGUGCAAGCGUUAUCCGGAAUUAUUGGGCGUAAAGGGCUCGUAGGCGGUUCGUCGCGUCCGGUGUGAAAGUCCAUCGCUUAACGGUGGAUCCGCGCCGGGUACGGGCGGGCUUGAGUGCGGUAGGGGAGACUGGAAUUCCCGGUGUAACGGUGGAAUGUGUAGAUAU
rnacentral:rRNA from 1 species